GGCUUUUUUCGCCCAGGCGGAGCUCGACCGCUAACUAAAAUAAUGGUUCAGUUUAUCGAUGAUAAUAAAGAUAAUUACGGGAUCGAGCCUAUCUGUAUUAUAAAUUACAUAAGAUUUAAAGCUUAACCCA
rfam:Psychrobacter arcticus 273-4, complete genome.